AUCAUGGCGGAACAGUCAGUCGGAAAGGCAGUGGGGAAGUGUUGCGUCGGGCUGCAGCAGAUUUUCUACGGACCGAAACGGAGCCGGUUGAAACGAGUGACACGCUCUGAUUUGUCACCUUGAUUGGUGAGUAAAUGUUUGUUGCUAUGCUAAGCUAGCGCUAGCCGCGGCCCAUUCAUUUUAAUGCGCGACUUAGCAUUAGCAUCUUACUAGCGCUUUCCAUUCGUUUCUAUGAAGCUUUAUGCUAGUACUAGCUUGUACUAUUGUAUUAAAUUGUAUUGAAGUAAAUGGAUGGUUUCUGUGACAAUACUGUAUGUAUAUGUUUUACUUCAAUGUAAAGAAGGUACAAUGGUUUUGAAACCUUUUGAUAUACUGUGCACUGUGAUUAAUGAAAUGUAUUGAUGAACUUUUGUAACUUUUUGGGAUAUUUUGUGCUAAAUUGUAUUAAUUUGUGUACACUUUUGAGCUAAUUUGCUGGUCCUGUUGCUCUCACAGGCCGGGUUUUUUUCCCCCCCUCCCUUUGGAUUGGAAAUGUUCAACGGAUGGCGAGCUACCCAGAUUUGUGAGACGAAUCAUCUUCUUCUCCCACCAGUGUGGUAGGAGAUGCAGAGCCUAUGCCCCAUUGCACACACUCAACACACAUUCUGUUGAGCUCUCAUGAAGGUUGCGAAUCCUUGUACCCCUCCUUCAACAAACAUUUUAAUGAACUCUCCUAUGGACUGAUAUUUUUGAUAUUUAUUGGAGAAUGAACUGAACUCUGGGGUGGGAUUAUUUGGUUGUUGAUGGUUUUGUCAUUUGAACUUUGGAUGUUGCUCAACUGCUCAUGAUCUUUGCCAUACUGAUCAACUGAAUGUCAUGACAUUUGUACAUAUGUAAAUAUCUUACCACUUUACUAAUUAUUAAUACACUUUAUUUGCCUAUA